UCUUUAGUAUAUGCCUCACCCAGUCUCCUCUCUUAGUAUUGCCUCAUCCAGUCUCCUUCUGUUAGUAUGCCUCACCAGUCUGUUCUUUAGUAUAGCCUCACCAAGUCUCCUUCUCUUAGUAUAUGCCCUCCAGUCUUUCUCUUAGUAUAUGCCUCACCAGGUCUCCUUCUCUUAGUAUAUGCCUCACCCAGCUCUCUUCUAUUUUAGUCUAUGCUCAAUCCAGUCGUUUCCCUUAGUAUAUGCCUCACCCAGUCUCCUUCUCUUAGUAUAUGCCUCACCCAGUCUCCUUCUCUUAGUAUAUGCCUCACCCAGUCUCCUUCUCUUAGUAUAUGCCUCACCCAGUCUCCUUCUCUUAGUAUAUGCCUCACCAAGUCUCCUUCUCUUAGUAUAUGCCUCACCCAGUCUGUUCUCUUAGUAUAUGCCUCAUCCAGUCUGUUCUUUUAGUAUAGGCCUCAUCCACUCUUACCAUCUUUCAGUCCUUCGCUCCCUCUCUUCUUACCUCUCUCCUUACUACUCUUGUAGAGGUUAUACUGAUAGAACAGAGGUUUGGUUCUCCUGAUUCAGAGGGGUUGGGUUAAAUAUGGAAGACACAUUUCAAUUGAAUGCAUUCAGUUGUUCAACUGACUAGGUAUCCCACUUUCACCUUUCCCUUUGCCUCCAAACACCAGCAUGCACUGGGCACCAAUCUGCUUCUCAUCAGCGCUGCCACGGAGCCACGGGCCAAAACUACAGCCUUCUUUCACUUUAUCAGCCCAGCGCAUAUCUCUCCACGCUCAAUUACAAAGCUGCACCGAUCACCUUCACGCAUUUAAACAAACACAGCCGGUGAAACAUAUCCCCUUUAUCACUGACAACCAAUGCACGAUACAAGUCCCAUUUAGCAUGUGAUGAGGAGAUAUUAUGUGAAUAUGUGUGAUAAUGAUCCAUUAAGGUG
rnacentral:lncRNA from 1 species